rnacentral:rRNA from 1 species
AUUGAACGCUGGCGGCAUGCCUUACACAUGCAAGUCGAACGCGAAAGGGGGCAACCCUGAGUAGAGUGGCGCACGGGUGAGCAAUACAUCGGAACAUACCCAGUAGUGGGGGGCAACCAGUCGAAGGACUGGCUAAUACCGCAUACGACCUACGGGUGAAAGCGGGGGACCGUAAGGCCUCGCUCUAUUGGAUUGGCCGAUGUCUGAUUAGCUAGUUGGUGAGGUAACGGCCCACCAAGGCGACGAUCAGUAGCUGGUCUGGGAGGAUGAUCAGCCACACUGGGACUGAGACACGGCCCAGAUUCCUACGGGAGGCAGCAGUUGGGAAUUUUGGACAAUGGGGGCAACCCUGAUCCAGCAAUGCCGCGUGAGUGAAGAAGGCCUUCGGGUUGUAAAGCUCUUUCGGCCGGGACGAAAUCGCUCUGGUGAAUAUCCAGGGUGGAUGACGGUACCGGAAUAAGAAGCACCGGCUAACUACGUGCCAGCAGCCGCCGUAA